AUCACUUCUUGGCCUUUUGGCUAGAUCAAGUGUAGUAUUUGAUCUUAUCAGUUUAUGUGCUAUCAGUUUGAAAGUAAAGUAUACCUACUUUACUACAACAGUUAUGGGGCUCUGAAAGACUUAAAAGAGUAUGCUGAUGCUUUAGCCAUGUUAAUAAGUAACAUUUUAUCCUACUUUAAGACAUGUUUUCUA